CGCCUCUUGAAUCUCAUAAGAGGUCCAGCCUGCCCAGUGACACAAUUAAACGGCCGCGGUACCCUGACCGUGCGAAGGUAGCAUAAUCACUUGUUCUCUAAAUAAGGACUUGUAUCAACGGCAUCACGAGGGUUAUACUGUCUCCUCUUUUUAAUCAGUGAAACUGACUUUCCCGUGAAGAGGCGGGAAUAGAAAUACAAGACGAGAAGACCCCAUGGAGCUUUAAACCCAAUAGUAACCUCUAUUUACUACUACUACUUAAUCAAGAAGGUCUACCUACUGGUUUUAGGUUGGGGUGACCCUGGAGUAAAACUAAGCCUCCAUGACGAAUAGAAUUAUUCUAAUCCCAGAGCCACUGCUCUACGAAUCAAAAUUUUGACGUAAACUGAUCCGCCUAGCGAUCAACGAACCAAGUUACCCUGGGGAUAACAGCGCAAUCCAUUUCAAGAGCCCCUAUCGACAAAUGGGUUUACGACCUCGAUGUUGGAUCAGGGUAUCCCAGUGGUGCAGCCGCUACUAAAGGUUUGUUUGUUCAACAAUUAAAACCCU
rnacentral:rRNA from 1 species